rnacentral:rRNA from 1 species
GUAGGUGGCAAGCGUUGUCCGGAAUUAUUGGGCGUAAAGCGCGCGCAGGCGGUUCUUUAAGUCUGAUGUGAAAGCCCACGGCUCAACCGUGGAGGGUCAUUGGAAACUGGAGAACUUGAGUACAGAAGAGGAAAGCGGAAUUCCACGUGUAGCGGUGAAAUGCGUAGAGAUGUGGAGGAACACCAGUGGCGAAGGCGGCAUUCUGGUCUGUAACUGACGCUGAGGCGCGAAAGCGUGGGGAGCAAACAGGAUUAGAUACCCUGGUAGUCCACGCCGUAAACGAUGAGUGCUAAGUGUUAGGGGGGUUUCCGCCCCCCUUAGUGCUGCAGCUAACGCAUUAAGCACUCCGCCUGGGAGUACGGCCGCAAGGCUG